rnacentral:ncRNA from 1 species
GAGAUGCAGAUAUUAAAGGCGGUAACGCAUGCGAACUUGGAGAAGUUGUUGAGUGUCCCGGGAAGAGUUACAUCUUUUCUUAACUGUCUAAAGCCCUUGAGUGAGCUUGCUCAGGGAAAGGGUCAUUGGCAGGUUAGAGCUCGAUCUCUGAUUGAGUCCGGUUUACGUUCAAUGGCCCGAGAAAAUCCAAGGGAGAGAAAAAUAUUUGUGCUC